CUGAGUUGAUAACAGAAAUAAUGAAAGUCUAUGGGUGAUUUGGAUGAAUUCUGGUAGUAAAUGGUACUAUGGGUCUGUGGGUUUCUGUUUGAGAGAAGACAAGAAGUUUUUGAAGUUAAUUCAAGCAUAGAUGCAUAUGAAGAACUCAGGGAGGAGAUGGAAAUCGAAAUGAGGUUUUCUGAUCUUCAAAUGAAAACAGAGAUGGAUUCGAUUGAUUACCUUAGAUAGAUAAAAGACAUGAGCAGAUUUAUGAAGAACUAGGGUUCUCCUGUGUUGGAGGAUUGAUAAAAUCAGAGCUAGGGUUUGAGUUGGAUGUAUGAUUCUGUGAUAUAUUUGAUGAUUUUAAUUGGUUAAAGGGGAAGCUGAGCUCUAUUUCAAUCAUAAGAAGAUGGGUUUGGUGGUAAUUGUGUGGUUGUGUGCUUGUUGUUAGGGUUCAGAUGAAGAAGGCAUAAAGUUGAAAUUCAUGGGUUCGGUUUGAUUUACCUUGUUCCCUGUAUUGGCAUAUUGAUUUGGGGCAGUAUUAGUAUUUUUGUUUCUUAUUUUUCCAUUUGGGGGUUUCCUAAGUUAUGUAAUUUGAUUUAGUGAGUGCUUUAUUUCAGGAGUUUACUGUGAUGGAUGCAACUCCAUAAAUGUUUCUAACAAUGUUGAGAACGAGACUCUAGGCAAGAGAUUGUGGAAGCUACUUUAGAAGUAAUUCCAAUGCAGUCUGGCCAAAGAUUGCUAGUAGUCCUCAUGGAGUUCGUGACACUAAGGUUUGGUACCAAUGCUGUGAAAGCAGUGGUCCUUCAAAAGGCAAUGACUGAUAAUAGACUAGACAACGUAGGCUAAGCCGCUAAGGCUAAUUAGCACUUCGUACGAUAAAGUUCGUGUUAGAGAAAGAUCUAUGUGGAAGAAAACCUGAGUUUUAGAUACUGUCAUUUCUGUCGAAAAAUGAAUUUCUCAAUUAUAAUAUCCCAUUAUAUCCCAUUGUUAAAAUAUAGAUCAAAUCUCUAUCCAGGAGCACGGUUAAUCCCGUAUAUAAUCCUUCUGUUUACUGUAAAAUGCAUGUUUUUGGGUUCCGACAUCCAAUUGUUCAGUGGCUACUUCGUGACCUUAUCACAAAUGUCAGUGUGAAAGCACAACAGAGUAUUUUAUCCUCAAAUUUUAGUAAUGUGGAUGGUGGAGUAGAGCCUGAAACGCGGUCUCCAGAUUCAAUUUUAUAUCCCGACAUAUCACCAUCCCUAGGGAUGCCACAGAACAUGAGAAAGAGAACUAGGAAACACACACAUAAAACUUCAAAUUCAGCUAGUGGGGCAAGCCUGAAAAGACUCCAAACUCAAGUUUCUUUUGACAAUACUGAUAUUUCUAUUACUGCUGGAGGUAAUGGAAGCUCUCAUAAUGGAAGAAAAUGUUUAUCCUCUUCGACUCUAAAACAAGAUUACCGCGUAGAGAAGGAUACUGGAGAUUCUUCAUUCAGUUGUUUGCUUGUGAUCCGUCUAACGAGGAGAAAACGUUACCUGGUGCUGAAAAUAAAGUAUGCAACUCAUUGCUCGAGACGGAAGAUAACGAUGGAGAGAAUAUUAAUUUGCAAGAUUCUAACGCUGAUAGUGGUUUUGAUCUUUGUGUUCCAAAUACUUUGGAACUUCUACACAGUAAUCCUGAAGUUAUUGAGGAUUCGGAUGAAGAAUUUUACAAGGAAAAGUCUUGCAAUUAAAAAAAUGAGCUGGUGAAAGCCAAUAAAAUUGGUUCCGAAGAACUGGUGAUGGACAUGCACUCAGAACAACAUUCGGAACUAUCUCUUUCAUAUGCAAGUUUUGAGAAGAGCGAAGAUUAUUCUCUCGGGCAGGACCCAGCUAACUCAAUGAUGACAUUACUUCUUCCACAAGUACUUCCACCACUUAAGAUGACACGGCAUAAAAAACAACUAGCUCCUCACACUUCUGGAACUUCUCUUUUUAUAAUUUUUAUAAAAGAUCCACUUUUGGUGUUUUCAGCUGUGAAAAGUGCAGGUGACAAAUGCAGCUAGAGUUCUCAUCGAGGGCCAAUUUCCAUGAGCAAGUGACGAUUUUUCCAGUCAGGCCCUCAUUUUGUCGGCCUGUAAAGAAAACUGCAAGAGCUUUCGGCGAAGCACUAAUCAAUGCAGAACUUGGUAAACCAAUUGGAAAGAUUAUCAUCAUAUGUGGCUGGAACAAAAUCUUAGCUUCGACACUAGAAACUGGUCCGUGGAAAAUCCAAGUAAAGAUCAACAAUUGAGAUAAAUGCAGCAGAACAAGAAAUAUGGAUUAUAAUGUGCAGGUUUGGGUCUGCUAAAGAGAAUCGUAUCCUCUACUCACUGCAACCAAUGGUCUUUGAUUUAGGAGCUUUAUUUCGAGUCAACUGAUGCAGUUUCCAUCUUGGUAGACCAUAUGAGUCUGGAGAUGAACGUGAACAUGAAGUUGAAGAUGGAUUUACUUGGGAUGAUUUGCAAGAAGAUGAGAAUGAAUAUGCUGGCGAAGAUGAUGAUUUGUAGGAUGAUGGAUGUGUUGAUGUUAAUAAGAAUAAUGAACUAUCUGGAGAGGAAGAUGGUGAGGAAAUUAAUGAAUGAUGUCUGUGCAGUUGUAUUUUGAUGAACAUACAGGUCCAAUGCCUUUCACUGGAUCAUUUUUUUCCCUUUGUUCAGACCUGUAAGUUUUUUGUUCUUUUCGGGGAUGGUUGCAAAUCAGUUAACUUGAUGUUUCUUAUUUUUGGUAACAAGUUAAUGUCUUUUGCUGGGGUGGAGAAACUGAAGUAUAUAUCACUUCUAAUUAAGCAACGGUUAAUUAAUGCUACAUAAGAUG